UACGUAGGGUGCGAGCGUUGUCCGGAAUUAUUGGGCGUAAAGAGCUCGUAGGCGGCCUGUCGCGUCGGAUGUGAAAGCCCGGGGCUUAACCCCGGGUCUGCAUUCGAUACGGGCAGGCUAGAGUUCGGUGAGGGGAGAUCGGAAUUCCUGGAUGUAGCGGUGAAAUGCGCAGAUAUCAGGAGGAACACCGGUGGCGAAGGCGGAUCUCUGGGCCGAUACUGACGCUGAGGAGCGAAAGCGUGGGGAGCGAACAGG
rnacentral:rRNA from 1 species